UUCAGACCUGGUGGCACUACGACAAAAUCACAUUGAUGUGAUCGACAUACAAAUGUGACAGACGGACACUCUAUGGAUGAUGCACACCAGCGCAAAAUCAAUAGAUACGACAGACCGGACAUACGAACUGAGUUGCGUCGCAGAUUCGAAGCCGCAGGUGACAUUGAAUUCCAUUCUGCCACCCUGAACUGGAGGGGGAUCUGGAGUGGUCAAUCCGUUAAAAGAUUGAUAGCGAAGGGUCUCCUCAGCAAAUAUGAUAGUCAUAUCAUUAGCGUCCAGGUUAUGAGAGGCAGUCUCGGUUGUUUUAAACAGUUCAUGUACCUGAGCGGGUUUUCCCGAGAUUGGACUUAGCUAAAACGUUUGGUUCAAAACAUUUGCUUGCUGUCUUGGCAUAACAUCAAUAAAGGCAUAAACAUCGCAAAUAAUGGUAAUAUAUAAAUUGGCUAUGAGGAUGGUUUUAGUACGUAGGCGUUGCGGAACUUCGGUUCAGAUAGAGCAAUGAAUCGUGCAUGCUAGGAAACUGAAGUGUUGACAGACCUAGUAUCUUUCGAUAGAUUUCCAUACCUCCGCGAUCAAAAAAAAAAAAAAAAAUAGCCAAAUGCCUCGUCAUCUAAUUAGUGACGCGCAUGAAUGGAUUAACGAGAUUCCUACUGUCCCUAUCUACUAUCUAGCGAAACCACAGCCAAGGGAACGGGCUUGGAAUAAUUAGCGGGGAAAGAAGACCCUUUUGAGCUUGACUCUAAUCUGGCAGUGUAAGGAGACAUAAGAGGUGUAGAAUAAGUGGGAGAUAUUAGACCUCGGUUUGGUAUCGUCAAUGAAAUACCACUACUCUUAUUGUUUCCUUACUUACUUGAUUAAAUGGAACGUGUAUCAUUUCCUAGCCAUUAUACGGAUAUAUUUAUUAUAUCUUAUGGUAUUGGGUUUUGAUGCAAGCUUCUUGAUCAAAGUAUCACGAGUUUGUUAUAUAAUCGCAAACAAAUUCUUUAAUAAAACGAUGCAUUUAUGUAUUUUUGAUUUGAAAAUUUGGUAUAACUCCAAUUACUCAGGUAUGAUCCAAUUCAAGGACAUUGCCAGGUAGGGAGUUUGACUGGGGCGGUACAUCUCUCAAAUAAUAACGGAGGUGUCCCAAGGACGGCUCAGUGCGGACCG
rnacentral:ncRNA from 1 species